rnacentral:rRNA from 1 species
GCUCAGGAGUCUCGUGGGCUCGGAGAUGUGUAUAAGAGACAGGGCCCCUAAUUGUAUAUUAAGUGUGAAACGAUGUGAAAGUGUUCAGACAGCCAGGAGGUUGGCUUAGAAGCAGCCAUUCCUUUAAAGAGUGCGUAACAGCUCACUGGUCGAAUGUUUUCGCGCGGAAGAUGUAACGGGGCUAAAUAUACAGCCGAAGCUUUGUCAUCAUAUUAUUAAUCCAGAUUUCGAUCCAGGAAAUAUGAUGGGUAGGAGAGCGUUGUAUGGGCAAUGAAGCAGCAACGAGAGUUAGUUGUGGAGACCAUACAAGUGAGAAUGUUGGCAUGAGUAGCGAAGGAAGAGUGAGAAUCUCUUCCGCCGAAUGUCCAAGGGUUCCUGGGGAAGGUUCGUCCGCCCAGGGUUAGUCGGGACCUAAGACGAGGUCGAGAGACGUAGCCGAUGGAUAACAGAUUGAUAUUUCUGUACCACUAUAUAAGCGCCAAAAUCGAAUAUAUGUCGCUAAGGAAAGCCUUCGGGCCUACCGACCCACAUAUUAUUAGAUUAGCAAUGGAGUGACGGAGAAGGAUAAAUGAGCCCAGGCGAUGGUUGACCUGGGGUAAAUGCGUAGGGUGAUCGACAGGUAAAUCCGUUGAUCAUGAAACCUGAGACAUGAUGCCGAGCCGCUUUUAGGCGAAGUCAUUGAUUCCAUACUUCCAAGAAAACCUUCUAGUUAGUUUAUAUAGUGCCCGUACCCCAAACCGACACAGGUGGACAAGUAGAGAAUACUAAGGCGAGCGAGAGAACUCUGGUUAAGGAACUCGGCAAAAUAGUUCCGUAACUUCGGAAGAAGGAACGCCCCAGUAAAGUGAGUGAUUAACUUCAUUAGCUUGAACGGGCCGCAGUGAUCAGACUCAAGCGACUGUUUAUCAAAAACACAGGAGGGUGCAAAGUUCGAAUACAACGUAUACCCUCUGACACCUGCCCGGUGCUGGAAGGUUAAGUGGAUAGGUUAGCUUCGGCGAAGCUUUGAAAUUAAGCCCCAGUAAACGGCGGCCGUAACUAUAACGGUCCUAAGGUAGCGAAAUUCCUUGUCGGGUAAGUUCCGACCUGCACGAAUGGUGUAACGAUUUGAGUACUGUCUCAACCAGAGACUCGGCGAAAUUGCAAUGUGAGUAAAGAUGCUCACUAUGCGCGACAGGACGGAAAGACCCCGGAACCUUUACUGCAACUUGAUAUUGAAUGUUUGUAUGCAUUAUGCAGGAUAAGUGGGAGACUAUGAAAUAAUGGCGCUAGCUGUUAUUGAGUCGACCUUGAGAUACCACUUAAUCCAUAUUGACCUUCUAACCUAGAUCCGUUAUCCGGAUCAGGGACAUUGUCUGGUGGGCAGUUUCACUGGGGCGGUGGCCUCCUAAAAAGUAACGGAGGCGCUCUAAGGUCACCUCAGCGUGGACGGCAAUCACGCAUCGAGUGUAAGUGCAAAAGGUGGCUUGACUGUGACACAAACAAGUGGAGCAGGUACGAAAGUAGGAACUAGUGAUCCCAUGGUUGCAUGUGGGUGCGCCAUGGCUCAUCGGCUAAAAGGUACUCCGGGGAUAACAGGCUUAUACCCCCCAAGAGUCCAUAUCGACGGGGGUGUUUGGCACCUCGAUGUCGGCUCUUCUCAUCCUGGGGCUGGAGCAGGUCCCAAGGGUUAGGCUGUUCGCCUAUUAAAGAGGAACGCGAGCUGGGUUCAGAACGUCGUGAGACAGUUCGGUCCCUAUCCGUCGCGCACGUAAGAAAUUUGAAGAAAGUUGUCCCUAGUACGAGAGGACCGGGAUGAACGAUCCGCUGGUGUGCCAGUUGUUCUGCCAAGAGCACCGCUGGUUAGCUACGAUCGGACGGGAUAAGCGCUGAAAGCAUCUAAGUGCGAAGCCCCUUCUAAGAUAAGAUUUCUCAUCGGGUUAACCGAUUAAGACUCCUUAUAGAACAUGAGGUUGAUAGGUCAGAAGUGUAAUUACAGUAAUGUAUGUAGCUGACUGAUACUAAUAAGUCGAGGGCUUGAACU